CCAGAUCUCAUUCAAGGUGGUUGUGAGUCACCAUGUGGUUGCCAGGAAUUGAACUCAGGACCUCUGAAAGAGCAGUCAGCGCUCUUAACCUUUGAGCCAUCUCUCCAGCCCCCACAUUAAUUCCCUGUAUUAGUCUUGGCUUAGAUAUUUCAAUAUUAAUUCUACCAAUUCUGGAGCAUGGAAUAUUUUUUCAAAAUCUAGUAUCUUCUGUGAUUUUUCUUUUUCAUUAACUUGAAUUUUUGUUGUAGAAAUAUUUCACUUCUUUGGCUAGAUAUAUAUUUUGUAACAUUUUGUUGGUUGGUUGGUUGAGACAGGAUGUUUCUACAUUGUAAGUGUUGCAGCUCUGAAGGGAAAGGUAUCCUGACUGUCGGGAGCCAAACUGUAUCUAUAGCUGCAAAGGGAAAGAUAUCCUGACUGUCAGAAGACAGACUAUACCUAUAGCUGUGAAGGGAAGGUAUCCUGGAUACCUAUAACUUCAGAGAGAAGGUAUCCUGACUGUUGGGAGCCAGGCUACACCUAUAGCUGUGUUCCAGUGAGUGACGGUUUCCCCUCAGUGUGACCAGCUGCUUCUGGCUCCUGCUGCCUUGAGUUCCCUGUUGUGAUGGCCUGUACCAUGAACUGUGAGCUAAAAUAAUCUCUUUCUCCCUUAAGUUGCUUUUGUCUUUGUGGUGCCUGUGCCAUGAGCAAGUCUAAUGUAUUAGGCAAAAGCCUGGAGAUUUAAAUGAAAGACAAGACGUCCGGUCAUUUGUGCUAAGUGUGUGUGUGUGUGUGUGUGUGUGUGUGUGUGUGUGUGUGUGUGUGUGUGUGUGUCUUUAUUGCAGAGAGGGAGCAGCCUUAUAUACAGACUUACAGCACAGUGGAAAAACCCUAGAUGAAAGAGCUCAUGUUUUCCCAGGUGUGGUUGAUGCCAGUGGGGCAAGACCAGCACUGUAAGUCAGGACUAGAAAACAGGAUGCACCUGUGGUUAUUGGCUGACAAGUAACUCACAGAGACCCCAUGGGGGCUGGGACUCAACAAUCUGGGUAUUUUUUUUUUUUACCGUGGUAACAGAAAAAUGAACAGCUCCGAUUUGAACCACCUCAUUGGCCCCUCAUAUUUCCACCUGUGAUGUGACACUGGCCUUGAUUUCUCUGUAAGUGUGACAGUCCCUGAUGACUUCUUCCAGUGGAAGUCAUUCCUUCCCAUCAGUGUCUUGUGGCCACUUUCAUCAGUGAUCAGAGCUAUUGCUUCUGGAUCCCUUGUACCUGUGGAAUCAUGUCUUCUUUUUUUCAUAUACUUUUUUAUUAAUUUAUUUUUUACAUUCCAAUCCCAGUUCCCCCUCCCUCCUAUCAUCCUGCUCCCUCCACUCCCCCC
rnacentral:lncRNA from 1 species